rnacentral:lncRNA from 1 species
GCCCAUACUAAUUUGCCUGGUCCCAUGACCAGUAAUAACACCCUGGUGGAUGCUAGUACUCGUAGAGAGUUUAUUUUUCAUGCCGCUCCGGUUGAUCUCGCUAGAGGAUUUCAUCAAAAGUUUCAUGUACCUGCCUUUACUCUUCAACAAAACUUUAAAAUCUCUAGAGCUACAGCCCGUGAUGUGGUGUUACGUUGCCAGAAUUGUGUUCAAUUUCACCACCCUCCUCAUGUGGGGAUUAACCCUCGUGGUCUGAUCCCGCUAAAACUUUGGCAGAUGGAUGUCACACACAUAUCUCAAUUUGGAAAUUUAAAAUAUGCUCAUGUUUCUGUUGAUACCUGUUCCGGUAUUAUACACGCUACUCUGAUGACUGGUGAAAAGGCUCGUAAUGCCAUUAGUCAUUGCUUAGAGGCAUGGGCGGCCUGGGGAAAGCCUGAUAGUCUCAAGACAGACAACGGGCCUGCCUCCACAGCAAAGUCCUUUCAGACAUUUUGCCAGACAAUGCAGGUCGGUCAUACUACAGGAUUACUAUACAAUCCCCAGGGUCAAGGAAUUGUGGAAAGAGCACAUCGUACCUUAAAAGAGCUUAUACA